rnacentral:rRNA from 1 species
CCCAGACUCCUACGGGAGGCAGCAGUGAGGAAUAUUGGUCAAUGGGAGAGAUCCUGAACCAGCCAAGCCGCGUGAGGGAAGACGGCCCUAUGGGUUGUAAACCUCUUUUGUCGGAGAACAAAACCCGGGACGUGUCCCGGACUGCGUGUAUCCGAAGAAAAAGCAUCGGCUAACUACGUGCCAGCAGCCGCGGUCAUACGUAGGAUCCGAGCAUUAUCCGGAGUGACUGGGUGUAAAGAGUUGCGUAGGUGGCAUAAUAAGUAGCUAGUGAAAUCUGGUGGCUCAACCAUUCAGACUAUUAGCUAAACUGUUAAGCUCGAGACCGUUAGGGGUAACUGGAAUUUCUAGUGUAGGAGUGAAAUCCGUAGAUAUUAGAAAGAACACCAAUAGCGUAGGCAGGUUACUGGGACGGUUCUGACACUAAGGCACGAAAGCGUAGGGAGCAAACGGGAUUAGAUACCCCAGUAC